ensembl:misc_RNA Y_RNA Y RNA
AGCUGUCCAAAGGUAGUGAGUUAUCUCAAUUGAUUGUUCCCAAUUACAUAUCAAACUCCUUCUACUCUUUCCCCGCCUCUCACCACUGCACUUGACUAGUUUUAA